rfam:Loxodonta africana unplaced genomic scaffold scaffold_53, whole genome shotgun sequence.
GUCUGGCUAGCUCAGUCGGUAGAGCAUGGGGCCCUUGACCUCAGGGCUGUGGGUUCGAGCCCCACAUUGGGCU